CUCGGCAAACGCAAGCUUACUAUUGGUGUAUAUAUGUAUAUGAACUUGAAUUACAGAAGCGAAACGCUUGAAAAUAUGAAAAAUUGCUAAUACAAAACCAUGUGCUUGACAGUCGACACGAUAUAUACCAUUACAAUUUCACACUCAAAACGUCCAGAUUUCAUUGUUCCGAUCUAAUGCAACGUAUAACAAACGUUCAAAUAU